CUAAUACAUGCAAGUCGAGCGAKCAGAACUAACAGAUCUACUUCGGUAGUGACGUUUCGGAAGCGAGCGGCGGAUGGGUGAGUAACACGUGGGUAACCUGCCCUUAAGUCUGGGAUACCACUUGGAAACAGGUGCUAAUACCGGAUAACAACAAGUGCUGCAUGGCACUUGCUUGAAAGGCGGCGCAAGCUGUCGCUAAAGGAUGGACCCGCGGUGCAUUAGCUAGUUGGUAAGGUAACGGCUUACCAAGGCAACGAUGCAUAGCCGAGUUGAGAGACUGAUCGGCCACAUUGGGACUGAGACACGGCCCAAACUCCUACGGGAGGCAGCAGUAGGGAAUCUUCCACAAUGGGCGAAAGCCUGAUGGAGCAACGCCGCGUGAGUGAAGAAGGUUUUCGGAUCGUAAAGCUCUGUUGUUGGUGAAGAAGGAUAGAGGUAGUAACUGACCUUUAUUUGACGGUAAUCAACCAGAAAGUCACGGCUAACUACGUGCCAGCAGCC
rnacentral:rRNA from 1 species